CGCACACAGCGCGCUGCCUCUCCCUGGCCAGGCCCGCUGGCUCCUGUCUUCCCAAACCGACCCGCUGACGAUGAAAGGGCUCCCCGGCCUUGGCUGCGGGGGUGCCGUGGGACUUUCCUGAGCACAGACUGCCAGCUUUUGGAUGAGGCCCAGUUUUAGUUUUCUGUUGAGGCCAAAAUACUAAUUUUGUUCCCUGCUCUGAUCAAGACAAGGAAUUCAGAGGAGUCUUAUCUUCCAUCCUCCUAUUCCUCAUGGUCAGCUGGCUUUCCCACGUUCCUACUGUCUGCAUCUGAUAUUGGGUUCAUUUCUUGGGGAAGGUUGAGUUAACGGAGUGGUCAAGACAAGGGACUGUUUUCUUCCCAACUGCCUCUCAUAAGUGGUCCUAACAACACAUACUGCAGUCAGGGGCACCAGAACAGGGGAGACCAGGAGCCAUAGCCCUCCCACUUCUUACAGGUUGUAAGGGUGAGUGACUGGGGCAGGGGUUGGAGAGGAGCAAGCAAGGGGCAGGGCCUCAGGGAAGAGGUGGCAUGGGACUGGGGGGUGGGGCCACUGUUUGGGCAAUUCCCCCCCACCACACACACACUUUUCGGCUGCUUCCACCUCUCCUGACUGCAGUGACCUUACCUCAAAGCAACCUAAGACUCAAAUGGUCUACUUAAAAAAUAGAAUUUAUUAGGAAUAGCACGUUCAGAUUAAAACAAAAUAAAUGAUUUGUAUAAAAUAUCUAGUCCAUAAACUA